rnacentral:rRNA from 1 species
UCUGAAUGUUANUGUCUUCCGANUAACUAUACAAUCNUUAAAACUUUCAACAACGGAUCUCUUGGUUCUGGCAUCAGCAUGAAGAACGCAUCGAAAUGCGAUAAGUAAUGCGAAUUGCAAAAUUCAAUGAGUCAUCGAAUCUUUGAACGCACAUUGCGCCCUGUGGUAUUCCACAGGGCAUGCCUGUUCUAGCGUCAUUUCAACCCUCAAGCCUCCCUUGGUGUUGGGCCCUGCCCGCCGCGGCCGGUCUCCUAAAUGAUAUUGGCGGCGCCGCCUGGCCCUCACCGCUACUACAGCUCUCGCUCCACGGUCCGGCGGCACCCUGCCANAACCCCC